GGCCAUGGGGCUCCGACUGGCGCCUCUCGGUGCUCCGGUUCGGCUCCUUGUACUUCUUCUUCCCCCUGAGGCUGCCGAAGCGCUUCAUCGGGAGCGGCAGCCACGGGAGCGGCGGCAGGCGACCAUACCAGGACCCUCGGGACCCCCUCAGCCCCAGGCGGCGGGGGGCCAGGAGAGGUGCAGCAUCAGCCCGCAGGUGUCUGGCGCCCGGCAGUCGGCCACCAAGAGCUCAGAGACAGCGGGGAGUCCAGGCGAACUCCCGGGGGCCCCGAGGCGAACUAGGAUGGGUCCCUCUCCGGGGCGCAGCCUCAGGACACACAGCGGGGUGACCCCCGUGCAGUCCUUCCUCCCGCAGGCCUCCGGCCGCAGCAGCUGGGGCAGCCCGCUGGCUGGAGUGGCAAGGAGCCGCCGGCAGCACAGGCAGAGCCUCACCCGCGGGGCUGUUUAUGGAGCUCAGGUCAGCUGUGUGCUCAGACACCCCAGGGGUUUCUCCCUCUGUACAGUAGGAAGGAGGGAGGACGAAAUAGGCAAACGGAGCACGGGCCCGCUGGUCAUGUGCGGGUCUGCGAUGUCUCUUUAAAAAGACUGUAAAAGGAAACCACGCUGGGCAGACAAAUCCUUGGCACCAAUUGGCCGGAGCGCACUCCCAUUAUGACAUGACAUCACACAACUAUUUUGAUUCAUGUGUUCCAGGGGCUCAGAAGGCUCCAGCACUUCUCCAUGGAGAAGUCACAUGUCCCUGGAAAUCGCUGAGUCUACUGCAGCGCGGGGCUCCUUACGAUGAAAGAAACAAGACCACCUCCUACAGGAAGACACAGGACCUGCUGACUUGCUUUGGGACCUUGAGAAAGUUUCUUCCCGCCCACGGGCCUCAGUUUC